UACGUAGGGGCGAGCGUUGUCCGGAUUUAUUGGGCGUAAAGAGCGUGUAGGCGGCCAGGUAGGUCUGCUGUGAAAACUCGAGGCUCAACCUCGAGACGUCGGCGGAAACCAUCUGGCUAGAGUCCGGAAGAGGAGAGUGGAAUUCCUGGUGUAGCGGUGAAAUGCGCAGAUAUCAGGAAGAACACCCGUGGCGAAGGCGGCUCUCUGGGACGGUAC
rnacentral:rRNA from 1 species